AAAGGGAAACGGCAAGUCGAGGGAAUUUCCUGCAGAGAUAAUAGAGGUUUCAGAUAGUAAAGAUUAUUUGCUCAAGACAAUGAGAAAAGAAGAAACUUUCUCUAUAAAUACUGGCAAAGGGUGUCACAAAAGAAUUCACAAAGCAAAGUUUACAAUUGAAAAUGAGAGUGAAUCAGAUGAUGUGCAGGAGCACAGUAUUCAUAAAAAGCUAAAGGCAUCCAGGGCAAAGAAAACAGAG